rnacentral:rRNA from 1 species
CUACGGGUCGCUCCAGUGAGGAAUAUUGCACAAUGGGGGGAACCCUGAUGCAGCAACGCCGCGUGGAGGAUGACGCAUUUCGGUGUGUAAACUCCUUUUAUAUGUCAAGAAAAUGACGGCAGCAUAUGAAUAAGCACCGGCUAACUCCGUGCCAGCAGCCGCGGUAAUACGGAGGGUGCAAGCGUUACUCGGAAUCACUGGGCGUAAAGGACGCGUAGGCGGGUUGGAAAGUCAGGUGUGAAAUCCUACAGCUUAACUGCAGAACUGCACUUGAAACUUCUAAUCUAGAGUAUGGGAGGGGGAGAUGGAAUUAGUGGUGUAGGGGUAAAAUCCGUAGAUAUCACUAGGAAUACCUAAAGCGAAGGCGAUCUCCUGGAACAUUACUGACGCUAAGGCGUGAAAGCGUGGGGAGCAAACAGGAUUAGAUACCCCGGUAGUC